rnacentral:misc_RNA from 1 species
GAUGAAGAACGUAGCGAAAUGCGAUAAGUAGUGUGAAUUGCAGAAUUCAGUGAAUCAUCGAAUCUUUGAACGCACAUUGCGCCCCAUGGUAUUCCGUGGGGCAUGCCUGUCCGAGCGUCAUUGCUGCCCUUCAAGCCCGGCUUGUGUGUUGGGUCGUCGUCCCCCCCGGGGGACGGGCCCGAAAGGCAGCGGCGGCACCGCGUCCGGUCCUCGAGCGUAUGGGGCUUUGUCACCCGCUCGAUUAGGGCCGGCCGGGCGCCAGCCGGCGUCUCCAACCUUCUAUUUUACCAGGUUGACCUCGGAUCAGGUAGGGAUACCCGCUGAACUUAAGCAUAUCAAUAAGCGGAGGA